rnacentral:rRNA from 1 species
GUCGUACGCUUCUUUUUCCACCGGAGCUUGCUCCACCGGAAAAAGAAGAGUGGCGAACGGGUGAGUAACACGUGGGUAACCUGCCCAUCAGAAGGGGAUAACACUUGGAAACAGGUGCUAAUACCGUAUAACAAUCGAAACCGCAUGGUUUUGAUUUGAAAGGCGCUUUCGGGUGUCGCUGAUGGAUGGACCCGCGGUGCAUUAGCUAGUUGGUGAGGUAACGGCUCACCAAGGCCACGAUGCAUAGCCGACCUGAGAGGGUGAUCGGCCACAUUGGGACUGAGACACGGCCCAAACUCCUACGGGAGGCAGCAGUAGGGAAUCUUCGGCAAUGGACGAAAGUCUGACCGAGCAACGCCGCGUGAGUGAAGAAGGUUUUCGGAUCGUAAAACUCUGUUGUUAGAGAAGAACAAGGAUGAGAGUAACUGUUCAUCCCUUGACGGUAUCUAACCAGAAAGCCACGGCUAACUACGUGCCAGCAGCCGCGGUAAUACGUAGGUGGCAAGCGUUGUCCGGAUUUAUUGGGCGUAAAGCGAGCGCAGGCGGUUUCUUAAGUCUGAUGUGAAAGCCCCCGGCUCAACCGGGGAGGGUCAUUGGAAACUGGGAGACUUGAGUGCAGAAGAGGAGAGUGGAAUUCCAUGUGUAGCGGUGAAAUGCGUAGAUAUAUGGAGGAACACCAGUGGCGAAGGCGGCUCUCUGGUCUGUAACUGACGCUGAGGCUCGAAAGCGUGGGGAGCAAACAGGAUUAGAUACCCUGGUAGUCCACGCCGUAAACGAUGAGUGCUAAGUGUUGGAGGGUUUCCGCCCUUCAGUGCUGCAGCUAACGCAUUAAGCACUCCGCCUGGGGAGUACGACCGCAAGGUUGAAACUCAAAGGAAUUGACGGGGGCCCGCACAAGCGGUGGAGCAUGUGGUUUAAUUCGAAGCAACGCGAAGAACCUUACCAGGUCUUGACAUCCUUUGACCACUCUAGAGAUAGAGCUUCCCCUUCGGGGGCAAAGUGACAGGUGGUGCAUGGUUGUCGUCAGCUCGUGUCGUGAGAUGUUGGGUUAAGUCCCGCAACGAGCGCAACCCUUAUUGUUAGUUGCCAUCAUUUAGUUGGGCACUCUAGCAAGACUGCCGGUGACAAACCGGAGGAAGGUGGGGAUGACGUCAAAUCAUCAUGCCCCUUAUGACCUGGGCUACACACGUGCUACAAUGGGAAGUACAACGAGUCGCGAAGUCGCGAGGCUAAGCUAAUCUCUUAAAGCUUCUCUCAGUUCGGAUUGUAGGCUGCAACUCGCCUACAUGAAGCCGGAAUCGCUAGUAAUCGCGGAUCAGCACGCCGCGGUGAAUACGUUCCCGGGCCUUGUACACACCGCCCGUCACACCACGAGAGUUUGUAACACCCGAAGUCGGUGAGGUAACCUUUUGGAGCCAGCCGCCUAAGGUGGGAUAGAUGAUUGGGG